AGAGUUUGAUCCUGGCUCAGAUUGAACGCUGGCGGCAUGCUUUACACAUGCAAGUCGAACGGGCUUGGGGGGCUUGCUCCCAAGUUAGUGGCGAACGGGUGAGUAAUACAUCGGAACGUACCGUGUAGUGGGGGAUAACGUAGCGAAAGUUACGCUAAUACCGCAUACAAUCUACGGAUGAAAGCAGGGGACCUUCGGGCCUUGUGCUAUACGAGCGGCCGAUGUCUGAUUAGCUAGUUGGUGAGGUAAAGGCUCACCAAGGCGACGAUCAGUAGCGGGUCUGAGAGGAUGAUCCGCCACACUGGGACUGAGACACGGCCCAGACUCCUACGGGAGGCAGCAGUGGGGAAUUUUGGACAAUGGGCGAAAGCCUGAUCCAGCCAUGCCGCGUGUCUGAAGAAGGCCUUCGGGUUGUAAAGGACUUUUGUCAGGGAGCAAAACUUACUGGUUAAUACCCGGUGAGGCUGAGAGUACCUGAAGAAUAAGCACCGGCUAACUACGUG
rnacentral:rRNA from 1 species